rnacentral:misc_RNA from 1 species
GUGAAUCAUCAAAUUUUUGAACGCAAAUUGUACUUUCUGGUAUUCCGGAGAGUAUGCCUGUUUGAGGGUCAGUUAAAUUAAAAUUCGGUGUGGUCGCUCCUUUCCGUGGUGCGGCACCGGAUUUGGGUCGUCUUGCCUUCGGUUAAGUGACUUAAAUUUUUGCAUGAUUUUUUUCGAUAGUUUUUAAAUGUUUUUACGUUUGUUUGCGAUAUUGCA